GACGAACGCUGGCGGCGUGCCUAAUACAUGCAAGUCGAGCGGAACCGGGGGAGCUUGCUCCUUCCAGUUUAGCGGCGGACGGGUGAGUAACACGUGGGCAACCUGCCCUGCAGAUCGGGAUAACUCCGGGAAACCGGUGCUAAUACCGAAUAGUUUGGCGCCUCUCCUGAGGCGCUACGGAAAGACGGUUUCGGCUGUCACUGCAGGAUGGGCCCGCGGCGCAUUAGCUAGUUGGUGGGGUAACGGCCCACCAAGGCGACGAUGCGUAGCCGACCUGAGAGGGUGACGGGCCACACUGGGACUGAGACACGGCCCAGACUCCUACGGGAGGCAGCAGUAGGGAAUCUUCCGCAAUGGACGCAAGUCUGACGGAGCAACGCCGCGUGAGUGACGAAGGUUUUCGGAUCGUAAAACUCUGUUGUGAGGGAAGAACACGUACCAACUAACUAUUGGUACCUUGACGGUACCUCACCAGAAAGCCACGGCUAACUACGUGCCAGCCGCCGCCGUAA
rnacentral:rRNA from 1 species